rnacentral:snRNA from 1 species
UAAGCCUAAGUAGUGUUUCCUUG